rnacentral:rRNA from 1 species
UGAUUCCUACGGGACGCAGCAGUAGGGAAUUUUCGUCAAUGGGCGCAAGCCUGAACGAGCAAUGCCGCGUGAACGAGGAAGGUCUUCGGAUCGUAAAGUUCUGUUGAAGGGGAAAAAGAGCGGAGAGAGGAAAUGGUCUCCGAUUGAUAUUACCCUUCGAGGAAGUCACGGCUAACUACGUGCCAGCAGCCGCGGUAAUACGUAGGUGGCGAGCGUUAUCCGGAAUGAUUGGGCGUAAAGGGUGCGUAGGCGGUCCGUUAAGUCAGCGGUAACAUUGCGGGGCUCAACCCCGU